UGUAAACUCUAAUUUUUCAGAAAAAAUAAAACAAAACGAUAAAUAAGUGAAUAAAUAACAUAAAAUGCAACUUGUAGUUCUGUGUCCCCUUGGUCAAAUACAAAAUAUCUCAAACAGGGAGAGCAAAUCUUUGUAACCACAUUGGAUCUCUCGUAUAUCUAUCAAUCUUCCCAUCUCCUAAACAAAUUUAUCGAGCCACUAAAAUCCAAAAGCUUAAUUUAUGUCGAGGUGAAACAAUUCGUUUUUAUAGGUAGUGGAUGAGAGAAUGAUGCAUGGCAUACAUGUCAAUAGCAUUUUGAGAAAAUUAAGCGUAUUAAUAACAAGAAGGUAUAAUCAAAGUGUUAAACCAAACAAGGAACCCUUAUUUUAUAAACCAGUCAUUUUCAUAUAUCAGUAUUGUAUAUUUCUCUACACACUCUCAGAAUAAAUUCGGAACUAAGCAGCCUGC
rnacentral:lncRNA from 1 species